GAUGAACGCUGGCGGCGUGCCUAAUACAUGCAAGUCGAGCGAACAGACGCGGCUCUUGUUCCUCUGUCGUUAGCGGCGGACGGGUGUGUCACACGUGUAUCCCCCCCCUAUCAUUCUGGGAUCUCUUCGGGACACCGGCGCUAAUCCCGGAUAAUCUCCUGCUCCGCAUUGUUCAAUAGUGAAAGUCGGCUUUGCUGUCUCUUCUCGCUGCUUCCGCGCCGCUUUAGCUAGUUGGUACGGUAACGGCUUACCACGGCAACGAUGCGUAGCCGACGGGCGAGGGUGAUCGGCCACACUGGAACUGAGACACGGACCAGACGACUACGGGAGGCAGCAGUAGGGAAUCGGCCGCAAUGGGCGAAAACCUGACGGAGCAACGGCGCGUGAGUGAUGGAAGUGUUCGGAUCGUAAAACUCUGUUAUUAGUGGAAAACAAAUGUGGAAGUAAAUAAGCACGGCUUGACGGUAACGAAUAAGGAAGCCACGGCUAACUACGUG
rnacentral:rRNA from 1 species